CCUGAGAAGAGGAUGGGACUGAAGCUUAGCCUGGAAAUACGGGCGACAAACAGCUGUUAACUAUGUUAAUGAGAAAAGAAAACGAAUAUCUGAUAAUUCACAGAUGAUCGGAUUCAUGCUGGAGUUGGUGCACGCAAAGAAGAAGAGUGCUCUCUGAAUACGUCGAUCGACGUGACGGGCUGAUGAUGGAUCGAU